AGAGCGAACGCUGGCGGCAGGCCUAACACAUGCAAGUCGAGCGCCCCGCAAGGGGAGCGGCAGACGGGAGAGUAACACGUGGGAACGUACCCUUUGGUUCGGAACAACCCAGGGAAACUUGGACUAAUACCGGAUAAGCCCUUACGGGGAAAGAUUUAUCGCCGAAGGAUCGGCCCGCGUCUGAUUAGCUAGUUGGUGGGGUAAUGGCCCACCAAGGCUACGAUCAGUAGCUGGUCUGAGAGGAUGAUCAGCCUCACUGGGACUGAGACACGGCCCAGACUCCUACGGGAGGCAGCAGUGGGGAAUAUUGGACAAUGGGCGCAAGCCUGAUCCAGCCAUGCCGCGUGGGUGAUGAAGGCCCUAGGGUUGUAAAGCCCUUUCGGCGGGGAAGAUAAUGACGGUACCCGCAGAAGAAGCCCGGCUAACUUCGCGCCAGCAGCCGC
rnacentral:rRNA from 1 species